UACGUAGGGGGCAAGCGUUGUCCGGAUUUAUUGGGCGUAAAGAGCGUGUAGGCGGCCAGGUAGGUCUGCUGUGAAAACUCGAGGCUUAACCUCGAGAUGUCGGCGGAAACCAUCUGGCUAGAGUCCGGAAGAGGAGAGUGGAAUUCCUGGUGUAGCGGUGAAAUGCGCAGAUAUCGGGAAGAACACCCGUGGCGAAGGCGGUUCUCUGGGACGGUACUGACGCUGAGACGCGAAAGCGUGGGGAGCGAACAGG
rnacentral:rRNA from 1 species